rnacentral:misc_RNA from 1 species
AACUUUUAACAACGGAUCACUUGGCUCUCGCAUCGAUGAAGAACGCAGCGAAUUGCGAUAAGUAAUGUGAAUUGCAGAUUUUCAGUGAAUCAUCGAAUCUUUGAACGCACCUUGCGCUCCUUGGUAUUCCGAGGAGCAUGCCUGUUUGAGUGUCAUUAAUAUAUAUAUCAGACUUAUCUUUGUUGAGUGGUCUGGAUGUGGGGGUUUUUGCUGGCUUGUUCAGCUCCCCUGAAAUGCAUUAGCAGAACAAACCUUGUUCAUUGGUGUGAUAACUAUCUACGCUAUUGAAUGUGAGGGGAAGUUCAGCUUUCUAACCGUCCUUGGACAAUUCAUCAUUAAUGUGACCUCAAAUCAGGUAGGACUACCCGCUGAACUUAAGCAUAUCAAUAAGCGGAGGCU